AACAUCGCGCACCUGCGGGAACCUGCGGAAGGAUCAUUACCGAGUUUACAACUCCCAAACCCCUGUGAACAUACCUAUACGUUGCCUCGGCGGAUCAGCCCGCGCCCCGUAAAAAGGGACGGCCCGCCCGAGGACCCCUAAACUCUGUUUUUAGUGGAACUUCUGAGUAAAACAAACAAAUAAAUCAAAACUUUCAACAAUGGAUCU
rnacentral:misc_RNA from 1 species